CAGUCGCAUCUACCUUCACUCUCAUCUCUCUUUUCUUUUCUUUGCCAGCAGCCAUGGCUGCCGCCGACCACCACCUCUUCUACCACAGGCGCAACCAUGGCUGGCAAAGCCUCCCCUCUCCCUAUACCCUUAUUUUCUCUCUCUUUUUUUCCCACCGGCAAAAUAAGCCACCAUCACCAAUAACUUUCUCCAUCAGCCUCUGCCGUUUUCCAGCCAACAAAUGCCACAGUUCCCGUCAGCCCAUCCAGUCACUGCUACCGAUGUAAAUAGCGGAAAGCGCUGCCUCCCUCAAUGCUAGAGCAGUCGCAACCUCUUAACCAACAAACCCCAUGCCGCCACCAUCGACCAAAACCGCCGCCAACACCCAAUUUGCCCCGGCCAUCAACAUGGACAAAGCUAACCAGCGAGCUAACCAGCGAGCAUUGUCUGGUUUAAACUUUGCCAAAAAUAUUGCAAUUUAUGACGGAUUGAAUCCGUCCCAGCAUCAACCAAUUUAGUACAAGUGGCCUCUUGUAGUGGAGAGGUCUUGCUCGACUGUUGGAAGUUAAAGGAUUUGUUAAAUAAUGAACGCUCAUCUCAAGAAGACAACCAAGAGGAUGAAAGUGAUGAUAACUCUGACGACGUGAAUGAAAGUGAUUCUAAUCUUGAUAACAUGGAUGAAAGUGAUUCUGACCUUGAUGGUUGGUAGUUUUAUUGAGGAUUCAAGUUUGAAAUAUUUUGUUUUGGACCAUUUAAGAAUCAUACAUUAUUGAUGUGGAUGUUUUGAAAUAUGUUUUUUGUUAGCUGUAAUUAUGUACAUUAGACUUGUAUUGAAUGAUGUUUUUGAGACUUAUUGAAGGUUUUGAAUAGAUUUUUGAUUAAUUAUGAAA